UACGGAGGGUGCAAGCGUUGUUCGGAAUUACUGGGCGUAAAGGGGGCGUAGGCGGUUUGUUAAGUCAAAUGUGAAAGUCCACGGCUUAACUGUGGAAGUGCAUUUGAGACUGUCAGGCUAGAGUUUCGGAAGGGAAAGUGGAAUUCCUGGUGUAGGAGUGAAAUCCGUAGAUAUCAGGAGGAAUACCGGUGGCGAAGGCGACUUUCUGGACGAAUACUGACGCUGAGGCCCGAAAGCGUGGGGAGCAAACAGG
rnacentral:rRNA from 1 species